UCGCCAGGCACCUGGCAAAUCUGCUCAAUGACGAAAGUUCUGUAUGCAGUGUACGUCUGCAUUAGGACAGAAGGCUUCGGGUCGUAAACCCCCGUGGAAGAAGGGAAUACUAAUGAAGUACCGUUCUAGAAAGCACUGCUAACCACGUGCCAGAAGCCUCGGUACUACGUGGGGUGCAAGCAUUAUCUGGAUUACUGGGCGUAAAGAGUGCCGUAGGCGGCUAAGUAAGUAUACGGCUAAAGGUUCUGGCUCAACCAGAAACAUGCUGUAUAAACUACUUGGCUCGAAGAUUGUCGGGAGUAUCGGAAUUCUCGGUGGAGGGGUGAACUCCGUUGAUAUCGAGAGGAACACCAAAGGCGAAGGCAGAUACUUAGACAAUUCUUGACGCUGAUGGACGAAAGCUAGGGGAGCGAAAGGGAUUAGAGACCCCUGUAGUCCUAGCCGUAAACGAUGGAUACUAGCUGGCUGCCGUAAGGUGGCUGGCGUAAGCUAACGCGUUAAGUAUCCCGCCUGGGAAGUACGGCCGCAAGGCUAAAACUCAAAGGAAUUGACGGGGGAGCGCACAACCGGUGGAGCAUGUGGUUUAAUUCGAUACGAAGCGAAAGACCUCACCUGGGUUUGAAAUGUAACUGCACGGCCUAUGAAAGUAGGCCUCCUUCGAGGGUGUUACACAGCUGUUGCAUGGCUGUCGUCAGUUCGCGUCGUGAGGCGUUUUUUUAAGUAGAAUAACGAACGCAACCCCUAUGCUGUGUUGUAUGUUCACAGCAGACUGCCCUUGAUAGUAUCAAGGGAGGAAGGAGGGGACGACGUCAAGUCAGCAUGACGCUUACAUCCAGGGCCACACACAUCCUACAAUGGAAAUUAACAAAGGGUCGCCAACCCGCAAGGGGGAGCCAAUCCCAUAAACAUUUCCUCAGUUCAGAUUGGGGGCUGCAACUCGCCCCCA
rnacentral:rRNA from 1 species